ensembl:snRNA U4 U4 spliceosomal RNA
AGCUUUGCGCAGUGGUAGUAUCGUAGCCAAUGAGGUUUAUCCAAGGCACGAUUAUUGCUCAUUGAAAACUUUUCCCAAAUAAUCUUCUUUUCUAGAGAAAACUGGAGUAGGAGCUGGUGGAUUUUGCAACUGCAA